UACAGAGGGUGCAAGCGUUAAUCGGAAUUACUGGGCGUAAAGCGUGCGUAGACGGUUACAUAAGUCGGGUGUGAAAGCCCCGGGCUCAACCUGGGAAUUGCAUUCGAGACUGCGUAGCUAGGGUGCGGAAGAGGGAAGCGGAAUUUCCGGUGUAGCGGUGAAAUGCGUAGAUAUCGGAAGGAACACCAGUGGCGAAAGCGGCUUCCUGGUCCAGCACCGACGUUCAGGCACGAAGCGUGGGGAGCAAACAGG
rnacentral:rRNA from 1 species